UAAGGAAUGUUAAUAAUGAUGUUCAUAGGAAUAUGAUCAGAAUGAUUUAAUAAAUUUCAUUUUUAAUUAUUUGCGGAGUUUUUGGUUUUAAAAAGGUGUAUGGCCCAGUGGGUCAGAUAGCGUGGAUGGUAAUGCAGGAAAUAUUAGUACGAGAAAUCGUACGACUUAUCGUUGGUCUAUGGUUUGAAAUGGGAUGACGGUUAAUCUAAUGAUCAUUCCCAAUAGAAUGACAGGGACGGUCAAGAAGACGGCAGAAGGUGAAACGCCAAGAAAAUUUGGGAAAAUACGGAAAAUGGCCAAAGAAGAGAUUAAGGCAAAAUGGUCAUCUUGGAAAAUAGGCGUCUGGCGCGAAAAAUACGGACCAUAUAAAUAGACGACGAGAAAAAUCCAGCUUCAUUGUACACCAGUGGACCGACUGUAACAAGUGUUUUGGGUUUCAAUCCAGAGGGAUUGCCAAUUGUAAAAGAAUAACGUAUCAAAGACUUUGUGUGUGAACUUUUAUUUGUGUAUCAUACAAUAUAAACAAAAUUUGGAACUGCACUGGCCUUCCUUGUAGAGUGGACGGAGGCCAGUGUCAUUAUUUUUUUCUGGUUUGAUCAACGAGCAGAGUGCCUCUUUGGUGAAGUGUUGUGCCCAGCAGAUUUGCAAGUACUUUUGCCGUGUGAAUCCGAUUUAUGUUAAAAGUGUUGCUGGCGUUAGAGUUGUAUCCCACGAGGAAGUUUGGCCGUUGGGAGAUAUAUGAUUAAAGCUCGACUGCGAAGUUUCCAUCUAAGAAGAUUUCGCCUGGCGCUUCCCCUCCCGCUGUUACAGUCCCUCUAAAACAAGAGAAAAGCUCAAACCAAUCAGAAAUUUGCCGUGUAAAUUAAGGUAAAAAGACUUGUCGUAACUGUGUGUCCGUCUAUAUGUACUGGUGUAGAAAAACCAUUGUUAUAAUUUGAUGACUACGAUAAGUCUGCAGAAAAGAAAUUAAAAAAAAAAAAAAAAAAAAA